GAUGAGAAACUGCGGUUGGCACGAGGUAGCGGCGGAAGGCCUGCGCCGGUCGCCCGUUGCUCCACCGCCCUACCGCGCCCGAAAUCGAAAGACCGAACCUGAGCCCGCGGUGUGGCCCACGUACGCGUGGAUGUAGCCGCCACCGAUGCCGGAAGGCGUUCACGAGAUAAUCGCGCUCGAUACGGCGACGUGGUCCGUCCCGUAAAAUCCCGAAAGAUGACAAACUGCGGCUAGCACGAGGUAGCGGCAGGCCUGCGCCGGUCGCCCGAGUCUCCGCCGCCCUACCGUGCGUGAAAUCGAAAGCACGAAACUAAGCUGGCGGUGUCGCCCACGUACGCGUAGACGCGAGGCUGAAGUGGCGCUUAAGCGGAACUUGCGCUCUCGCCCACGUACACGUGGACGCGAUCGAUGCCGUCAGUCGCCGGGAGUGCGUGGCGAUAUGCACCGGGUAAGAAGAGCGACGUGGUCCGACCCGUGAGUAGCAGGAGGUGCUCGGACCGUAAGCAAACGGAUCGGCCCCGGUGGAUAGUCACGCUCUAGGUGAUCGUCGCACCCCAAGGGGGUCAAGACUAUAUUGAGGGCUUGCAGUCGCCAGGUGGAUGUCUCCGGGACCGUUCGGCAGGAUGCCAGAGACGUCAGCCUACGACGCCGUCAACCCGGCGGGUGGCCGCCGCCUUCGCGCCGCCUCUCUUUCUCCCGUUCGUCCACGCGUCGCGGGGCCGUUAGCGGCAGGCCUGCGCCGGUCGCACGUUCCUCCGCCGCGUUACCGUACCCGAAAUCGAAAGAACGAACCCAAGCUCGCGGUAUGGCCCACGGACGCGUGGACGUAGCCGCCACCGAUGCCGGAAGGCGUUCACGAGAAUGCACGCGCUCGAUACGGCGACGUGGUCCGUCCCGUAAAAUCCCGAAAGAUGACAAACUGCGGCUAGCACGAGGUAGCGGCGGAAGGCCUGCGCCGGUCGCCCGUUGCUCCGCCGCCCUACCGCGCCCGAAAUCGAAAGAACGAACCUAAGCCCGCGGUGUGGCCCACGUACGCGUGGACGUAGGCGCCACCGAUGCCGGAAGGCGUUCACGAGAUACCGGCGCUCGAUACGGCGUCGUGGUCCGUCCCGUAAAAUCCCGAAAGAUGAACAACUGCGGCUAGCACGAGGUAGCGGCAGGCAUGCGCCAGGCCUGCGCAUGACGCCCGCGUCUCCGCCGCCAUACCGUGCGUGAAAUCGAAAGCACGAAACUAAGCUGGCGAUGUCGUCCACGUACGCGUGGACGUAGCCGCGACCGAUGUUGCGAGGUACAGGCGUUCGAUACGUCGACGUGGUCCGUCCCGUAAAUUCCAGAAAGAUGAAAAACUUGCGGCCAGUGCAGGUAGCGGCUGGCCUGCGCCCGCCUUCGCCCGCGCCUCUGCCGCGCUACCGCGAGGCUGAAGUGGGGCUUCAGCGAAACUUGCGCUCUCGCCCACGUACACGUGGACGUAGGCGCGAUCGAUUCCGCCGGGAGUGCGUAGCGAUAUGCACCGGGUAAAAACAGCGACGUGGUCCGACCCGUGAGUAGGAGGAGGUGCUCGGACCGUAAGCAAACGGAUCGGCCCCGGCUGGAUAGUCACGCUCUAGGUGACCGUCGCACCCCAAGGGGGUCAAGACUAUAUUGAGGGCUUGCAGUCGGCAGGUGGAUGUCUCCGUGACCGUUCGGCAAGAUGCCAGAGACGUCAGCCUACGACGCCGUCAGCCCAGCGGGUGGCCGCCGCCUUCGCGCCGCCUCGCUUUCUCCCGUUCGUCCACGCGCCGCGCGGCCGUUAGCGUCAGGCCUGCGCCGGUCGCCCGUUCCUCCGCCGCGCUACCGUGCCCGAAAUCCAAAGAACGAACCCAAGCUCGCGGUAUGGCCCACGUACGCGUGGACGUAGCCGCCACCGAUGCCGGAAGGCGUUCACGAGAAUGCACGCGCUCGAUACGGCGACGUGGUCCGUCCCGUAAAAUCCCAAAAGAUGACAAACUGCGGCUAGCACGAGGUAGCGGCAGGCCUGCUCCGGUCGCCCGCGUCUCCGCCGCCAUACCGUGCGUGAAAUCGAUAGCACGAAACUAAGCGGGCGGUCUCGUCCACGUACGCGUGGACGUAACCGCGACCGAUGUUGCGAGGUACAGGCGUUCGAUACGGCGACGUGGUCCGUCCAGUAAAUUCCCGAAAGAUGAAAAACUGCGGCUAGUGCAGGUAGCGGCGGGCCUGCGCCCGCCGUCGCCCGCGCCGCGCUACCGCGAGGCUGAAGUGGGGCUUAAGCGAAACUUGCGCUCUCGCCCACGUACACGUGGACGUAGGCGCGAUCGAUGCUGUCAGUCGCCGGGAGUGCGUGGCGAUAUGCACCGGGUAAAAACAGCGACGUGGUCCGACCCGUGAGUAGGAGGUGCUCGGACCGUAAGCAAAUGGAUCGGCCCCGGCUGGAUAGUCACGCUCUAGGUGACCGUCGCACCCCAAGGGGGUCCCGACUAAUAUGUAGCGUUGUGGUUGAUCGGCAUAGGUUACCGUCUCGGAGGGAUGUCCUCGUAGCUCCUUUUCUGACGACGGUUAGCUCCCCGUUUGCCGGUGCAAGAUCGACUCUACACGGCCCUCUCGUCUGCCGACUUAGUCGCUGGCCUUCUUCGCCUUCUCCUCCGCCCGGAACCGGCCCCACUUCAAAUCGACCCGCACCGGAGCCCGUCCGCAGCGGCCCCGGUGUGCGGCAGUCGGAUCGCAAACCGUUUUUGCUCCGCGAACGCUUCUUCGUACGUCCACUCGUGUUGUUUUCGCCUCUUCUCCUCCGGGAGGAGGAGGCGCGCGCGUAUACGAACGGCGGCCGAACUCGUGAGUGCCCGCGCCCCUGUUUUCGGCCCCUCCGAUUCCUUUCGUUCUCGUUUUUGUUUCCGAUCGUCGGCGGCUGCUUCCCGAGCUUCCGCCGCCGCCGCGCUUCGUUCUCUCGAUGCGUCGGUGAUACCUGGUUGAUCCUGCCAGUAGUCAUAUGCUUGUCUCAAAGCUUAAGCCAUGCAAGUGUAAGUUCAUGCCGUAAACGAAUGGUGAAACCGCGAAUGGCUCAGGAACCGGACCUAAUCCUCGGGACCGUAUUCUUCCACCGCGAGGAGAGUGGAUAACUGUGGCAAUUCUAGAGCUAAUACAUGCAACCGAAGCCGCGAUCGCAGGUCGCACCCGGGCGUCGGGCUCGAAAACGGCGUUCGGCAGCCGUCGCGUCUUCGCGGCGUCGCCGUCGUCCGGUUCGGGGGCGGCGCAUCCGCGCCCGUCCCUCCCGGUCGCGACGAUACGGUCGGCCUUCCGCAUUGGUCGCGGCGCAAAUAUUAGACUGAGACCGACGCGUACGGGCCGUCGCAGCAGGCGCCGCGCCUUCCGCGCGCGGGUCUUAGGCGUGCGGCGGCUUCACGGCCAUCGAUUUUGGUGACUCUGGAUAACUGUCAGUACGAUCGUACGGGCCAGUAUCGCACUAGCCUUCGCGCGACGGGUCCCCCGCGAGUCCGCCCUAUCAACUGUCGACGGCCCGGUCAGUGCCGACCGUGGUGGCAACGGGUAACGGGGAAUCAGGGUUCGAUUCCGGAGAGGGAGCAUGCGAAACGGCUACCACAUCCAAGGAAGGCAGCAGGCGCGCAAAUUACCCACUCCCGGCACGGGGAGGUAGUGACGAAAAAUAAGGACGCGGGACUCUGUCGAGGCCCCGCGAUCGGAAUGAGUACACUUCAAAUCCGUUAACGAGGAUCGACCGGAGGGCAAGUCUGGUGCCAGCAGCCGCGGUAAUUCCAGCUCCGGUAGCGUAUAUUAAAAUUGUUGCGUUUGAAAAGCUCGUAGUCGGAAUUCGGGUCUCGAAAACGUGCUCCAGCACGUUCGGGGUAGACGGCGCCGUCGCAGGCGCGCUUCUGGCGCGUCCGUUCGCACUCCCGGCCCUAUUCGCCGGUGCGUGCGCGGUCGGGCCGCGGAGCUCUGCUCGCGUCGCCGCCGCGACUCGGCACCCCGUCCAGCGCUCGUCUUCGCCCGCGUCGCGUCGCGUCCGGUUUCACGUCUGCGCCUUCAACGGCGCGGGUCGGUCAGGCGUGCGCGCGGGAACCACGAGGCGGGUGCGCUAUUGGGCGUCGUCGCCGUUCGCGUUCUAGCGGUAGUAGCGCGUCCACCUCCCGGUCGUUUCGGCCCGCACGGUUCCUCCGAGGGUGCUCUUCGCCGAGUGUCCGAGGCGGCCGGUACGUUCACUGUGAAAAAAUUAGAGUGCUCAGAGCGAGCCCCGCCGGCUUGCAUACGAAAAGCAUGGAAUGAUGGAAAAUGGCCUCGUCCGCGCGUCAUCCGUCGGUCUCCGUUCACGACGAGGCAAUGAUCGAAGGGAGCGAUCGGGGCCACUCGUAUUGCGACGUUAGAGGUGAAAUUCUUGGAUCGUCGCAAGACGCACUGCAGCGACGGCGUGUGGCAAGCACGUUUUCCUCGAUCAAGAGCGAAAGUCGGAGGUUCGAAGACGAUCAGAUACCGUCGUAGUUCCGACCGUAAACGAUGCCGACUGGCGCUCCGCCGGCGUUCGCCUCGAUGACCCGGCGGGGAGCCUGCGCGGGAAACCAUAGUCGGUUCCGGGGGAAGUAUGGUUGCAAAGCUGAAACUUAAAGGAAUUGACGGAAGGGCACCACCAGGAGUGGAGCCUGCGGCUUAAUUUGACUCAACACGGGAAAACUCACCCGGUCCGGACACCGGUAGGAUUGACAGAUCGAUAGCUCUUUCUCGAUUCGGUGGGUGGUGGUGCAUGGCCGUUCUUAGUUGGUGGAGCGAUCCGUCUGGUUGAUUCCGAUAACGAACGAGACUCCGGCCUGCUAACUAGCGCGUCGAUUAGUGCUUUUCCGGUAGCGCGGCGGCGCCGAAGCAUUCGUCGGUAGCUCCGCGCGCGGCCCGGGCUUGCCGUUGCCGCCGCUCUCCUUCGCGUCCGGCGCUGCGGCCGCGUCCGGCUGCCGUCCCCCGUUCGCGGCGUCGGUGAUCCGGUCGGCUCGGCCCGCGCGAGCCCGGCGGCGGCACGCCGUCGCGUCCGGGCCAGUCGGUUGGCGAACGCAGCGCUUCUUAGAGGGACGGGCGGCAGAAAGCUGCACGAGGCGGAGCGAUAACAGGUCUGUGAUGCCCUUAGAUGUCCGGGGCCGCACGCGCGCUACACUGGAGGUAUCAGCGGGCGCGUCUCCCCCGGCCCGAGAGGGUCGGGAAACCUCUGAACCACCUCCCGUGAUAGGGAUCGGGGCCUGGAACCAACCCCGUGAACGAGGAAUUCCCGGUAGACGCGGGUCAUCAGCCCGCGUCGAUCACGUCCCUGCCCUUUGUACACACCGCCCGUCGCUACUACCGAUCGAACGGUCCGGUGAGGUCCUCGGAUCUGGCCGACGAGUCCGCUUACGCCGUCG
rnacentral:lncRNA from 1 species